ACCUUCGGGCCGGUCAGCUCUGGUUUUAGCAGAAGUUUCCCUGAGGGAUCGGGGGCCUCCACAGGGGGAAUACAAAAUCCAACACGCAAAGACCUGGCUUCACUGCCUUGCUGGCAGACUUUGGGCAAGUGACCUUCCCCUCUGAGCCUCACCGUCCUCUCUGUGCAAUGAGUAUGUUAAUGCCUAUGCCAAAGGCAGGCUGGGAGGACAAAGAGAGAGCCCCCAGAACCUGAAAUCCAAGUCCCAGCCCAUAAGGGUUCCGUGAACACGCUCAUGUGCUUGUUCUUACUAGACAAAGAUGUGAUUGCAAGAACAAGACCCCUGCCCUGGGAAACUCAACACUGGACAUCUCAAGCUCUUCCUACUCCUGAACAUGCCAUGGAACCACAACUGGUGAUGGAGCCAAAAGCCGUGAACAGUGGGACAUUUGAAACCCCUCAGCAAGCAUGCUUGCUAACAUGAUUUCCAGGGAAGUGUUAUUGAUGAGUGUGGUUCAUCUUAUAUACUUACAUGAAAUAAUAGUAGACAUGGCACCCCACUGGCAUUCCAAGGCCUCCUAUGGAGGGAGAGAAGCGGGGGAGGUGGGAGCUCACAGGAUUAGCCUGGAGAUGGUGAAGAGAUCUCAAGGCAGAGAACCCAGCUGGCCCAUCUGGGGCCUUCUGACUCCAUGACGGGGUCCUCCAGAUGCCUUGAGGUCAGGGCCAAACCCGAUGGGCAGCCUGGUGUGGGAGGACCAAGCUCAGCCAUAACAUCUGGGUCACAUAUGCUCCAGUCCCUCUCUACCUUCUCAUCUCUCUGCUAUGUCUCUGUCCCCUAAAUGGCUCAAUUCCCAAAGUAGGGUGAGACUACUAACUGAGCCAUAUGCGGGUGGGUAGAAGGGUGGGAAGUCUGGAAGGAGGGCAGGAAUAAAGAUUACCAGCAGUGUCUUUGGCUGAUGGGAGUGCCUGAUAACACUAACCACCCCCCGCCCAUUUUUGGUACCUGCUUUGUAUUUUUCCAACUUGUCAGAGCUGUGAGUCACCCUCUGCAUGGAGGGAUUCCCACGCUUAGGUGCCAGUUGGUUGGCAGAUGCCAAAACAAAUCAAAGACCCAGUCGUGAAGCUUGGCUAGGUUUGAACAAGGUGCUGGGGCGGUGUUCUAGGUGAGGCAUUGUUACUUCUUGGAAAAUGAACUGUCUUCAGAGCAGCAAGUCCCUCUGCUAGGCAUUUAUUUAUCCCCUGCCACUCUGCAAAAAUGAUUCCAGUUCAAAGAGAUUGCAACAAAAGGAUUGUGUGUAAGGUUAAUUAAAGAAAAAAGAAGAAGAAACCAGGAGAACCAAGGAAAUAAGAAGAGAAUGAAAAUGAGCAGUAUAUCUUCUGUGAAUGUGCACCAGAUGAAGCUAUAAGCUCCCUGCUGGCCAAGGCAAAAAAGGAAGCAUGAUCACUUUAUGGAGCUCUUGACAUAACUAACAUUUGUUGAUUACAAUUCCAAAAUUUUUAUUUUUA
rnacentral:lncRNA from 1 species